UGCCAGCCGCCGCGGUAAUACAUAGGCUCCAAGCGUUGUUCGGAAUUACUGGGCGUAAAGCGAGUGUAGGUGGUCCGACAAGUCGAUUGUGAAAUCUCCCGGCUCAACCGGGAGGGUGCGGUCGAAACUGGCGGACUCGAGUUCGAGAGGGGAGAGUGGAAUUCCUGGUGUAGCGGUGAAAUGCGUAGAUAUUCGGAGGAACACCAGUGGCGAAGGCGGCUAACUGGCUCGGUACUGACGCUGAGAUGCGAAAGCGUGGGGAGCAAACAGGAUUAGAUA
rnacentral:rRNA from 1 species